rnacentral:rRNA from 1 species
UAAUACGGGGGGGGCAAGCGCUGUUCGGAAUUACUGGGCGUAAAGGGCGCGUAGGCGGCCAGGCAAGUCCUUCGUGAAAUCCCACAGCUCAACUGUGGAACUGCGGAGGAAACUUCUUGGCUUGAGCCCGGGAGAGGGGAGUGGAAUUCCCAGUGUAGCGGUGAAAUGCGUAGAUAUUGGGAGGAACACCGGUGGCGAAGGCGGCUCCCUGGACCGGUACUGACGCUGAGGCGCGAAAGCUAGGGGAGCAAACGGGAUUAGAUACCCCGGUAGUCCUAGCUGUAAACGUUGAGCACUUGGUGUGGCGGGUGUCGACCCCUGCCGUGCCGAAGCUAACGCAUUAAGUGCUCCGCCUGGGGAGUACGGUCGCAAGGCUG